GGCCUCCCUCUGCGGGGUGAUAGAUCAUGGGGCUCUGUGAUUGAUUGCUCCAUAGAGGGAGGCC
rnacentral:pre_miRNA from 1 species